rnacentral:sRNA from 1 species
CACAGAUUCUCCCGGACCCACGUGGAAGCGGCACUCAAGAUGGUAGGAGAAUGAGCUCCUGUUUGGGAGGUCCGGGGCGCGUGAAGUGCUGGGGAUGUGGCUCUGGGGCCUUGGAGGCUCGGGGGCUCCGGGGCUCCGGGGCUCCGGGGCUCGGGAGCGAGUAGUGAGUGACUGGGCCCGCUGUUCCCACAGCUGCGCCGCGAGGCCCGCCUGCGCCGCGAGUACCUGUACCGCAAGGCCCGGGAGGAGGCGCAGCGCUCAGCCCAGGAGAGGAAGGAGCGGCUGCGGCGCGCGCUGGAAGAAAACCGCCUGAUUCCCACUGAAUUACGCCGAGAGGCUCUGGCCUUACAGGGGUCCCUGGAGUUUGAUGAUGCCGGAGGUGAAGGUGUGACCAGCCACGUGGAUGAUGAAUACCGAUGGGCAGGAGUCGAGGAUCCCAAGGUUAUGAUCACUACCUCCCGGGACCCCAGUUCCCGCCUCAAGAUGUUUGCAAAGGAGCUGAAGCUGGUGUUCCCGGGCGCCCAGCGAAUGAACCGAGGUCGACAUGAAGUGGGGGCACUGGUGCGAGCCUGCAAAGCCAACGGCGUCACCGAUCUGCUGGUCGUUCACGAGCAUCGGGGCACACCUGGUCUCUGACAUCCUCCGAUACCUAUUUCCCGUGCCCAAAGAUGACAGCCACCGGGUCAUCACCUUCGCAAACCAGGACGACUACAUAUCAUUCCGGCACCAUGUGUACAAGAAGACAGACCACCGCAACGUGGAGCUCACUGAGGUCGGGCCCCGCUUUGAGCUGAAGCUGUACAUGAUCCGUCUGGGCACGCUGGAGCAGGAGGCCACAGCAGACGUGGAGUGGCGCUGGCACCCUUACACCAAUACCGCACGCAAGAGGGUCUUCCUGAGCGCCGAGUGAGCACACUCACCACUCAGUCAGGUCAUGGACUUGGAACUCAGGAUGGGGCUGUCAUAGACAGACCUACCAGUAGGAACUGUCACGAAUGGCCUGCCGAACUGGGAUGUGGAACUGUGGCGGGUGGAGAGGUCUGAAUAAACUGUCUGUGUCACGGCCCCGCCUGCCUCUGAGUGGUCAGGCCAAGUCUGCAGGGCAAAGCCCAUGGGGUCCCUUUGGGUAGGGACCUGAUAGCUGUGGGAUGUGCUUGGGCCUGGAGUCAGUGUGGGGGUUAACAUAGUGAGAAAUUUGAUGCUAACGUCCCCUCAAGAGUGAGGGUCCUAUGAGCUCUUCAGCAGGCAGAUGUGGGUAGCAGGGCCAGCCCAUGUCAGGGGCAGCCCACCAAGUUAACUCAUUGAGUGGAAGCCGCCAGUGUGCAAAUGCAGUGGGGACAGGCCACACCCAGUGCUCAGCAGCUGAUUCCUCAUGUAAGUGGCAUCAUGUAUUUGUCCUGUGUCUGGCUUAUUUCUGUUAACAUAAUGUUCUCCAGCUUCCUCCAUGUUAUCGCAAAUGAUAGGAUUUCUUUCCUUGUAAAAACACAUGCCACAUUUUCUUACCGAUCCAUCCACCAACAGACACUUAGGUCAUUUUCAUAGUUUGGCAGUUGUGGAAAUGCUGCAGUAAACAUGGGAGUAUGGCUAUCUUUUCAAGAUAAUGAUUUCAUUUCCUUUUUAUAUGUAUACACAGAAGUGGGAUUGCUGCAUCAAAUGGUGGUACUAUUUUUAAUUUUCUGAGGAAUCUCCAUACUGUUUUCCAUAAAGGCUGCACUAAUUUCCAUUCUCACCAACAGUUCACUUUUCUCCACAUCGUUGCCAACAUUCUUUAUCUUGU